rnacentral:rRNA from 1 species
GACAGAGGGGGGCAAGCGUUGCUCGGAAUUACUGGGCGUAAAGGGCGCGUAGGCGGGAUGGCAAGUCGGUCGUGAAAUCCCUCGGCUCAACCGAGGAACGUCGAUCGAUACUGCUGUUCUUGAGGAUUGCAGAGGAGACUGGAAUUCCCGGUGUAGCGGUGAAAAUGUGUAGAGAUCGGGGAGGAACACCGGGUGGCGAAGGCGGCUCUCUGGGACGGUACUGACGCGUGAGACGCGAAAGCGUGGGGAGCGAACAGG